UGGGACAGGCUGGCCCGGGACUGGCCGGCAUUGUGGUCAAACUGCAUUAAGCAGAAGAUCAGGUCCGUCGGCACGAGCUCAAACUCAUAGGGCGGGUUGGUGAUGACAUACCUGGACAGGGAAAGCAGAGAUGUCACCUCCUGAGAGUAACUGAGUAAAGAAUUCAACUCUCUCUGAACCAAAAGCAAUGGCCUGGUUACUCAGGACUUUCAGAGGAUCUGGAAGAUGCACUCCUAGCUGGUCUGAGGCCUUAAACAUUCUUUUUCUUGUUAAAUGGAAACUUCCUCUGUUUAACUCAAUAAAGGAGGCCAGCCAGGAGCCCAGGCAGAGAUGUGGAAUUAGAGCCAGUAAUGGAAGAACCAAACUUCGCUUCUCGUGGUCUACAUGUACCUUUCUAUACAAGGUCAAAGUCACUUUCAAGUAGCCCAACCGCAAGAGGUUUCAUGAAGUGUGAUGCAACUUUCAUUUCAUAAUUUUCGGACAAUCCCAGAUAUACAUCACAAGAUCUUUGUUUACCAUGACAGAGUGUCUCCUUAGACUAUUCUCGCUCUUUACCUUUUAAAAUCUACUUUGGUGAGAGAAUUUGGAAUUUGGAAUUCACCACAUGGAAGAAUCUAAGAAACCUGCCUACUUAUCAGCACUACUUUGUUGUUCUUCACAAUUAGUUGGAGCUUUCUUUGGUCAACAGCAGAUGUGACUAAGAAAAUCACGCUGUUUCACUUAGAGCAGUGGUCACCAAGUGUGGUCCUUAGGCCACACAGGUCAGCAUCACCUAGGAACUAGGAAAUGCAAGUUCUUAAGCAAUCCCACCCAGACCUACUGAAUUGGAAGUGCUGAGGAUGGGGUCCAGCAAUCUGUGGUUGAACAAGCUCUGCAGGCAUCCAGGAGCAGAGCUGUGGGGCAGCAGAAUCUGUGAUGACAGAGAAUGAUGAUGUAUUUUUGCCAGCAGAUGCUUUUGCUCCUGUUUUGAUACCCCAAUAUUCGGAUGCAGAAAAGGACUCUGAGCAUUGCUGACGGGUGUGCUCUGCACACCUAUCUCUUCAGGAUCUGAAUAAUUUGGUGGAAAGACAAUGCCUUUUCUGGAAAAGGGUGUCAGGUCAGUCAUAUUGGAGGAUGCAAAUUUCCUUAUGUGAUGGGAGUGAGGGUUGGGGUAGGGCACUUCACGGAGCAUUCAGCAGUCUGCAAUUAAGCAUCACUCCAAGGCUUUCUGCAUAGGUGAUGGCUGUUUCUGCAUCAUGGGGCAAACCAGGUGCUAGAACUUCAAAUGCCAAUUACCAAAGGCGCUUCCUGCGGAGGAAACCUCUCUACAACUCACCUGACCCAGAAGGCACACAUUUUUUUCUGGGUUAACAUAAAUGCUAAAAUUGAAGAAAUGAAACAUUCUAAAGGCAGGAUCAUGUAGGUGAGAUCCUUUGCCUCCUAAGCUUUUGUCCUGCCAGUCUUUUCUGUGCCUUACCAUGAUACCUGUGCUAGAAGUCUUCUGGGAAGCUCUUGUAUAGAACCUCCAACUCUGGCAGGGUUAGUCUUCAGGGAUGCUUCAGGCAGAGACCUUCUCAAUAUCUAUCCUUGCGUCACAUGGGCAUUGAGUAUAAGACAGCUGAGUUAGGGUCCUGUUCAGAGCCUGGGAUCAGGGAACCCGCAUAGUCUAAGGAAUACAGGAGUCCCUCUUCCCACUGCCAAGGACAAGUUUGCAAACCUGACUAGCGAAGCCCUUCUUCUGAUUAAGGCAACGUGGCCCCCUGGUUAUGAGUACAGAUUUCCAAAUCCAAUUAGUGUGGCUUUUAAUACCUGCUUUGCUAUCCAAUAGGCACAACAAUGAAAAAGUUGCCUAACUUUUCUCUGCCUUGAAUUCCUCAUCCAUAUAACAGAGAUGAAAAAACAAAACAAAACAAAAAUUUAUAGAUUAGAGUUAAAUGAGAGGAUUUGUGAAACUUCUGAUAGACAAAGCAUACUCAAAAAAUGGGAGUUUAUAAAAAGAACCAUCAACUAGCAAUGCAACCAAUUUAGACAAUUCCCUCUCCGGGUGUCUCGGCGUUCUGAUUCUAAUCUCUGAGAGCUGGCUCAGAACACAAGGGUGGCCCGCUUGGCCUCUAAAGUUUGAUGAUUCUCAGGUCCUGUAAAAGGACACUGAGGAAACCAUGAAAUGCCAGGGGAGGGACCAAGGCACUGUAACAGGGAAACCUGAGCCCACAGCGCCAUCUAGCCCGCUUGGCCCACGCCCCGCUGUGCCUGCAAGUGUAACCCGCCCAAGCAUCCUCCUCUUUUUAUUUUUUUAAAGUAUAAUUACCGGAGCUUAUGUUUCACAGUUAAUGCUGUCAAGCCUUUUAAACUAAUUGGUCUUUUAUAGAAAAUUUAACUGAAAAUUAACACAUCUUUUAAUAACAUUGCCUUAACUUUAAUGGCUCUCUGCCUUUCGUUUAUAAUUGCUCUAAAAUUGUCAUUUUCCAUGUCAUAGCUGCCAUUUUUUAUAUUUGCUAGUUUUCAUGGUGUAGAUUUUUAUUUUUAGUAUUUUUCUUUCGUGAGGGAUGAAAAUGAUUGGAUUUUUUUUUCCCUACCCCAGGCCUGCCUGGCCUGAUGUGACAGCAGUGGUCUGUCCUGAGUCUAGCAGGACAUACCUCCAUGUACCCGACUGACACCACUGCUAGCUCCUCUGCCUCGGGACGGCCAUGUGCCCUCUGUCUCCGUGUGAGCAGUUGAAAUGGAGGCUCUUGAGUGGAGUGUAAGAAAUAGGGUUAUGGAGCAAUAAAUUGUUUAUGUAACUAAAAUCACAUGGCAUUAGGUUAGCUUGGACUGAUAGAGAACUCAGGCCUCUCCAUAACACCAGGUUCAAGGGUUUGGCCCUUAAUGAAAGUACAGGAAAGACAGUAAAUCAUGUGAACCCACAUUCCAGACGGUCACACCCUCCAGUCUUACUGAUAUAACUUCGUUUCUGGCAAACAGGCCAGCUCUCUGAUAUUAAAGAUGAGAACAUGGAAUCAUAUCUUCUGGGUACCCCAACUCAUCUACCCACUAAGCUCCCAAAUAUUAUCUAAGAUGUGUGUUCAUGAAAGAGAGAAAGAGAGAGGAUAAGUGCACACAAACACAUAAAUAUAUAUACAUAUAUGUACAUGCAUAUAUACCAAAAAAAUCUGCUUCUUUGUAAUUACAUGUGAUCUUAAGAAAUACGUAUCUGCUCUGUGAAAGAUUUUUAUAUGCCUUUGCCAUUCUCCAAUUAGCAGAAAGUCAUAAGGAGUAACAUCAUUCCCAUUUAACAGUAGAAAAAAUGUGCAAGGGCUGCCGGUGAGCCAGGACCAGAAGCUACAAGUCCUAAUUCAUGGCCCAGUUUCCCUCCUCCAAGUCACUGCCUUUGUUCUGAAAAUAUGAAUGCACUGGACAUGCAAACUCCUGCCCUGGGCAUUGUGGUGCAGUGGGCAGAGCAAAGACACACCUGCCUUAACUGGCUCACAUUGAAAUUUCUCUCUAGCUCCUGGGGGAUCCUGCGCAUGGGUCUCUCCAUAGGCUGGCAUUCACGCUUCUCAGAUGUAUCGUACACUAGCAAAAGGGGCCUCUGCUUUUCUCUGCUCUUUCUCUUAACACUGUUAUAAUAUGCUUUUUCUUUAUUUUUCCAGAUUAGGUAGGCCCUGCAAACCUAAAGCUUCAUUAAAUCUUGUUUUCUAAAAAAAAAACGACAACACUCCCAACUUGUGUGCAUUGGAACUCAUUAGCUCUUGUAGUAGGGUUCCCCUUUUUCUCCUCAGAAGGAGGUGGCUCCUCACUGCUCCUUCAAUAACGAUGGUUCAGUGUGAUUGGUAUCUGUUUAGGAAAGGUCCAAGGCUCAAGGAAAAUGGACAUCAUGUGCACAACCUCCUAACUCAGAGGACAAGCAAGUGACCGGAAGGCCAAGGAUGCUGUCUGACCACAGACAUUGCAAUGCAGACACAUAAGAUUAGAAGCAAAACGCAGGAGGCUGGUAAGGCCAGGACAGUGGGAUGAACCAAGCAGGGAAGGGACAUGAAUGAAGCAGGCCUGGUGGGAUACAAUAGAGAGUAGUGUGGACUGUGGCUAAAGGGAGCAGCUGCUCAGCUCAAGCCAAUAGCUGCUUUACGGGAAUCUGGGACUCUGCCUUCUGACUCUAAUUUAAAGAAGGCAGGAACCCCGAUUUUAUAUAAAAUCUUAUUUUAAAAUAUUGGCAACAAAUUCAAUUUAAAAAUAAAAACUUGAUAAAUGCAGAAGUUGUCUGUGGGGUAGAUGUAGACUGCAAUGUGACAUUUCGAGACUUCUAUUACAGAUCUUUUAUUAGAAACAAGAUAUCAAGCCAAGUACUAUGCCAAUAUAUUGUGCUAUUUCUUCUUCUAAAAUGAGUGCAUGAGGAUGGGGUGUUGGACAAAAAAAUAAUCAAGGGUUGCGCUUCAGGAAUCAACUCAGUGAUGAGCUCACUGUCCUAGCCAGCGUAUCCAGAAACAGUGGCAUUAGGAGGAAGCUGGUGGCUUUCAGAAGAAGGAGGAUCCUCUCGCCAAGUCUGAAGUGUCUCAUUCCAGACUUAGAACUUGGCCAGAUGUGGUCUAUUGUACUCGGAAUACUCAGUGUGGCCAGCGGCCUUGCCUUCUUGAUUGCCUUCCUGUCUACCACAUUCCAACCAUAAUGGCCUCCAACUGCUUCCUCCAACAAACCAAACCCAGCUUGUCACCACUGUGCAGCUUUGGCCUUUAUAGUGUUCUCUCCCUCUGUUUUUUUCAGUGUCAGCUUCAAUGUUACCUCCUAGGAUAAUUUUACUCUGACCACUGAGGGUAAAACAGGUCUCCACACCCAUUCAAGCUAUUUCAUGUUCUUCAAAUCAAUUAUCCUUAUGUGACACUAUUCAUUUAUUCACUUACCUAUUUACUCUUAACCCACUAGAAUGAAAGUUUAAAUAACAUGAAGGCAAGGUCUUCAUCCUUCUUUUUUACAACUGAAUCCGCAGCAUGGGGAAUCAUGCCUGGUGUCCAGUAAGUGCCCAAUAAAUGUAUUGAUUAAAAACACUAGCAACAAUAAAUACAUACAGAGCUUGUCAAGUGCUAAGCACCGCUCUAAUCGCUUUACAACCUUUACCCAUUUACUCAUCUCUGCAACCCUGUGACAUAGGUACUAUUACUAUCUUCAUUUUAAAGAUGAGAAAACUGAGGCACAGGGAGGUUAAGGUUACCCAGCCAGUAAACAGCAGUUCUGGAAUCCAGAUCUAAGCCAUCUGGCGCUUGAGUCCAUGUCCAGUAUUCACUUUUCAGGGUCCAAGUGGAGCUUAAGUUGGGGCUGGGGUUGGGAGAAAGUGAUAGCUGGAUGAAAAAGAAAUCUGAAUACUCAUAUGUGAGUCUCAUCCCUAAAAACAGAGAGGAUUCCUUUCACCUGGUG
rnacentral:lncRNA from 1 species